rnacentral:rRNA from 1 species
CUGGCGGCGUGCUUAACACAUGCAAGUCGAACGGAAAGGCCCUGCUUUUGUGGGGUGCUCGAGUGGCGAACGGGUGAGUAACACGUGAGUAACCUGCCCUUGACUUUGGGAUAACUUCAGGAAACUGGGGCUAAUACCGGAUAGGAGCUCCUGCUGCAUGGUGGGGGUUGGAAAGUUUCGGCGGUUGGGGAUGGACUCGCGGCUUAUCAGCUUGUUGGUGGGGUAGUGGCUUACCAAGGCUUUGACGGGUAGCCGGCCUGAGAGGGUGACCGGCCACAUUGGGACUGAGAUACGGCCCAGACUCCUACGGGAGGCAGCAGUGGGGAAUAUUGCACAAUGGGCGGAAGCCUGAUGCAGCAACGCCGCGUGCGGGAUGACGGCCUUCGGGUUGUAAACCGCUUUCGCCUGUGACGAAGCGUGAGUGACGGUAAUGGGUAAAGAAGCACCGGCUAACUACGUGCCAGCAGCCGCGGUGAUACGUAGGGUGCGAGCGUUGUCCGGAUUUAUUGGGCGUAAAGGGCUCGUAGGUGGUUGAUCGCGUCGGAAGUGUAAUCUUGGGGCUUAACCCUGAGCGUGCUUUCGAUACGGGUUGACUUGAGGAAGGUAGGGGAGAAUGGAAUUCCUGGUGGAGCGGUGGAAUGCGCAGAUAUCAGGAGGAACACCAGUGGCGAAGGCGGUUCUCUGGGCCUUUCCUGACGCUGAGGAGCGAAAGCGUGGGGAGCGAACAGGCUUAGAUACCCUGGUAGUCCACGCUGUAAACGGUGGGUACUAGGUGUGGGGUCCAUUCCACGGGUUCCGUGCCGUAGCUAACGCUUUAAGUACCCCGCCUGGGGAGUACGGCCGCAAGGCUAAAACUCAAAGGAAUUGACGGGGCCCCGCACAAGCGGCGGAGCAUGCGGAUUAAUUCGAUGCAACGCGUAGAACCUUACCUGGGUUUGACAUGGAUCGGGAGUGCUCAGAGAUGGGUGUGCCUCUUUUGGGGUCGGUUCACAGGUGGUGCAUGGCUGUCGUCAGCUCGUGUCGUGAGAUGUUGGGUUAAGUCCCGCAACGAGCGCAACCCUUGUUCACUGUUGCCAGCACGUUAUGGUGGGGACUCAGUGGAGACCGCCGGGGUCAACUCGGAGGAAGGUGGGGAUGACGUCAAGUCAUCAUGCCCCUUAUGUCCAGGGCUUCACGCAUGCUACAAUGGCUGGUACAGAGAGUGGCGAGCCUGUGAGGGUGAGCGAAUCUCGGAAAGCCGGUCUCAGUUCGGAUUGGGGUCUGCAACUCGACCUCAUGAAGUCGGAGUCGCUAGUAAUCGCAGAUCAGCAACGCUGCGGUGAAUACGUUCCCGGGGCUUGUACAUACCGCCCGUCAAGUCAUGAAAGUUGGUAACACCCGAAGCCGGUGGCCUAACCGUUGUGGGGGAGCCGUCGAAGGUGGGACUGGUGAUU